rnacentral:rRNA from 1 species
AUGGCGUGCUACCCAUGCAACCCCUACCCCCACCUCCCACCCGGCACCACCAUUGUUGCUCUUGGCCCUCUGCGCGAGCAACGAGGAUACGUUGUUGUUGGAGGAGAACUCCCCAUGGUCUGCGACGAGUGGGCCAUUGCCACGCUGGUUCCUGGCAUCGCCCUGGAGGAAUUUCAUGGUGCAAACGCCAUGAUCACAAACUUCUUGGAGAACAGGGGAUGGAGAAUCAACUACUCAUCGCGCUGUGGUAUGGGAUCUGCACUUAUCCAGUUUACUACUGCAUGCUCUCGCGACUCUGCUAUUGCAAACAGCCCAUAUCAGAUUGGGGACUCUGUUCUUAGGAUUACUAGGCAAGAUCGAGGACUGAACUAUCGUAGCAUCACUUUUACUCAUGAUGUCUGGUUACUGUUGAUGAACUACCCACUUGAAUGCUGGGAUGUGAAUGUGAUUAGCCGUACUGUUGCACCCUAUGGUAGAUUUCUGAUUUGGAACAAAGAUCCCAGAGAUAAAACCAGAAUCAUUGUGAAAGUUAGAGUCAUUAAUCCUGAUACUUUACCUCUGAGCAUUGUGGUGCUGCGCAAUCUUGAUGAUAUUGGCUAUGGUGGUUCAUGGACAUACCCAACUUACAUUAUGUCCAGAGAAAUCAUUGGGCAGCAGGGAGGGGAUGAAGAUCCUCAGCCCCCGGAUGGAGGAAACCCUCACCCUCUGCCCCAUGUGCAUGGUGGGUUUUGGCAUGAUGAGGUCCUUGGCAACAUUCCAAUGGAACAAGUGGUUGUUAACCCCCACAAUGAAAACCUGGGUGCCCCAUAUGAGGAUGUUCAUGCUGCUGAGGGCUAUUUCAAUGUGGCAGAAAUCCAGGAACAAUUUCAGGUUGCUAUUAAUGAAAACUUACCUGACAAUGCUCCAGCUGUUAACAAUGAGGCUCCCCAUAUUGCUGCUGUAGAUGCUCCUGCUCCUGUGAUUAAGGAUCUGAAUCUCAACGUGUGUGCUGAUACAAAUGUUCAAGUUGAUGCUGCCCUUGUAGAAGCGGUGCAAACCAUUCCUUCAAUUGAAGAGGAUUUCAUCCCCUGUACCUAUGGCAGACAGCCCUGUUUUCUCUCCUCAAAACGCCAGCAUGAACUAUAA